rnacentral:rRNA from 1 species
UACGGGGGGGGCAAGCGUUGCUCGGAAUCACUGGGCGUAAAGCGCACGUAGGCGGAUCUUUAAGUCAGGGGUGAAAUCCUGGAGCUCAACUCCAGAACUGCCUUUGAUACUGGGGAUCUCGAGUCCGGAAGAGGUGAGUGGAACUCCGAGUGUAGAGGUGAAAUUCGUAGAUAUUCGGAAGAACACCAGUGGCGAAGGCGGCUCACUGGUCCGGUACUGACGCUGAGGUGCGAAAGCGUGGGGAGCAAACAGG